AGUAGCAAUACUUAGUGGCAGACGGGUGAGUAACAUGUAGGUAUCUACCCUAUGGCCUAGAAUAACACGAGGAAACUUGUGCUAAUACUGGAUAAGUCUUUACGGAGAAAGCUUUAUGCACCAUUGGAUGAGCCUGCACUUGAUUAGUUUGUUGGUAGGGUAAUGGCCUACCAAGACUGUGAUCAAUAGCUGAUUUGAGAGGAUGAUCAGCCACAUUGGGACUGAGACACGGCCCAAACUCCUACGGGAGGCAGCAGUGGGGAAUCUUGCACAAUGGAGGAAACUCUGAUGCAGCGAUGCCGCGUGAGUGAAGAAGGCCCUUGGGUUGUAAAGCUCUUUCGUCGGGGAAGAAAAUGACUGUACCCGAAUAAGAAGGUCCGGC
rnacentral:rRNA from 1 species